GUUAUUAUUUACCUGACAUUUCUCUCCCAAUUAUCUCACCUUUUACCUUAUUUUCUUCAUGUCUCUUUGGACAAUAUCGUGAAGACUCUCGCUAGACCAUACAAUAUCUCUCUCUCUACAUCACUCUCCCUCCCUCUCUCCAUUUCUAUCUUCCUUUUUUUAUGUUUUAUGGCAACUUUAAUAUUCUAGCGGGUUCACAAAUUUUUGUGACCUUACCGCUCCACAAGAACUCUUUCCCCUCCGACAAGUGCAAACCCUUGUAAUCACUACUUUCUAAUCUUCAUAAGAGUUCUAGUAGCGAUGUAAGUUCCCAUCAUUUUGUCAUGUCGCACCAGAGCUAGAGUCUAUUGAUAUACUUUUGACUGCUAUUUCUACUUUGUUAUGUCUAUUAUAUUGCUAUUUAUGUAUUUUCGCCACAACCACACAAUGGCGAUCAAUUAUGAUCAGCGAUCAGACAGGUUAAGGACUAGAUGACAUAUGGUUAAGGUGGGAGUUGUGUGUUGUUAUGAGAUGUCAAAUAUGGGAACUUGGUCUAGGUAUUCAUAAGGGGGAAGGUUCAAAUGAAAACCACUAGUUAUCGCGAAAACUCGAAAACUAACUAAAAAAGUCUAAAAAACAUACCAAAUUUUUUUUGCAUACCAAUUUUCUCUAUUUUAGGUAUAUAAAAAAAACUUUUUU
rnacentral:lncRNA from 1 species